rnacentral:rRNA from 1 species
UACGUAGGGUGCAAGCGUUGUCCGGAAUUAUUGGGCGUAAAGAGCUCGUAGGCGGUUUGUCGCGUCGGCUGUGAAAACUGGAGGCUUAACCUUCAGCGUGCAGUCGAUACGGGCAGACUUGAGUUCGGUAGGGGAGUCUGGAAUUCCUGGUGUAGCGGUGAAAUGCGCAGAUAUCAGGAGGAACACCGGUGGCGAAGGCGGGACUCUGGGCCGAUACUGACGCUGAGGAGCGAAAGCGUGGGGAGCGAACAGG